GCAUAUCUUUUAUGUGAUUAAUACCUAGUAAUUAUUGUAUGGUGUUUUUCUUCUAUGAUUAAGCUGUGUGAUUAAGAAUUGAUCAAUGAAAAUUAAAAUUAGGGUUGUAGUCUGAAAGCUAGAUCCACAUGAGGUGUGUAAUGCAUAGCUAAAAAAACGCCAGUCACUAUCUGAAUGACUAAACAAAUACCAGCUAACGAACCGAAGCCCCACCAAUAACUAAGAUUGCUCGGGGUUGGAUAAUCUAUCAAAUGUUGAUUAAGUGUGGAGGAUAUAGGUGCUUUAAGAAGNGCUUGUUUAUACAAAUUAUCCUCAAUCCUAUCAAACUCAUGAAAUGAACAAGUCUUCCUUCUAGCUUUAUCAUGUUCUCUCUUGAUGUCUUUGUAACUAAGUGGCUUAUCAAGAUUAAAAUUCCUAGGAGAAUAUCUUCCAAACAUUGUAUGAAUUUAAAAGUUUUCUUGAAGUAAGGAUGAAAAGAUUUCACUUACUAAAAAUCCUUAAAUCAAAAUUACCUCUAAAUUCAACAAAAGUCUAGAAACAAUUAAUCAUGAAGAGAAAAACUAAACUUUAAGAUUUUUCCAAAAGCUUUGAAAAUUGAAAGAAGUGAGGUCUCUUAGGUGAGGCUUGGACUUUGGAUCCAAGACACACUCACUGUCUACCAAUUUUAAUGAAGAAAUAAGAGCAAAAAUUUACAAGUGAUGGAAGAACACUUGUGAAUUCUUCCAAGUCACUUGCUUAAUGGCCAUUUACAAGUAUUUUUGCAAAACAAAUUACUUGAAACAACAAGGAAGUGAGAAGGAAAUGAUGUGUGCAACUUUGGCUUCUCUUAAAGAAAAUGAAUUGCUCCAAUUCACACAAAACUCCCAGCUGCAAGUGAUCACUCAAUCUGGACAAAUUCUGCUGAAACGGAUGCUGCUGCAGAAUGCAGUGUUGUUGUCACGCAACCUGCAACAAAUCUGAUGCAGAAGCUGUCACGAUUUUCCUCAGCCAAAGGCCACCUUCUUGCACUUGUCUCUCCUAAUUGAACCUUCUUUGAUGCUUCCACUUAUGGUAAUCCUUCUGAAUUAUAGUUCACCUAUCCAGCAAACCGAUUAAUCACAGAAACUAUCACCAUAAUUGCCAGCAAAAUCACAUACAAGUGACAGCAACACCAAGACUUUCGUCAAACAGAUGGUGUGCAGAGUGUUCAAAAAUCAGAAAGCAAGCAAUUAAAUGGAUAUCAAUCACGGUGGCACUUCAAAAUGAUCUUAGGAUUGGCUCUAGAGCAGACUAAUAACACAAGAAAAGACCAGCACUGUAAAAUGACUUCAAAUUAACUAUGCAAUGCAAUUGACCCAAACUGUUUGUGGAAAUGCCACUGAGAACGGCUGUUUCUGAUGCAGUAACUUUUAUUUAAAUCUGUUGAUCACUACACAAUUAGGAUGUAUUGGUUCUUGCAGCCUUCUACUAUGCUUUCAUUUCUUUUGCAUAUACAAAUUAUAUUUUUGGAACCAAGGCUCUUACUACAUCCUUAAUUCAUUCCAUCAAACAACUACAAUCUUUUAAAACCAAUUGAAAUAGAGCUGGGUGCAAUGCAAUGUUACGGUUUUUGACUCAAAAUUCAACAAGUCAUAUAGGCCAAUUUUGCAAAUCAGCAAUUGGUCAAGUCAGUCAGUUUCCAACAUAUUUGAAUGACUAAAUCAGACUUGUUUGACCCCAAUUGCAACUGAAAUUCAAGGUAUAUCAAAAUUGAACUAUAGCAGUUCUGAAAUAAGCAAUUUGAGCUCAGAUUUGGACUAAAAUUUGGAUGAAAUGGUAUAUGAAAUUUUGCAGAACUAACUAUAUGCACUUUAUAUUUGUUCAAACAUGUUUAUUAGAUGAAAUCAAACUUUUUUGAUCAGGUUUAUGGACUAAAAUCAGUGCAUAAUAGAUUUUGGCUAGUUCAGUUCUGAUGCAACUCAAAACCAUCAACUUAUAGUAUCCAAAUUUUGGAAACAAAUGGAAAUCUGACUUUGGACAUUGCAAUUGACUCAGACAUAGCACAUGAAAUUUGCUCAAAAUGGCAGAAACAUCAAUUAGAUGAUUGACAAUGAUCUAAUGCUCAAUCCAAAUUGACACGCAGAAAUGACUAAAAACAAAACAAUUGCAGUUCGGUUUUCCUACCAAUAACAAUGCAAGUGGAACUUUCCAGCAGUGUAACCAGCGUAAUUGCAACAUACAUUCAUGCUCAUUCAGUAUUCAUACUGGUUCAGAUCUACUUAAGCAUGGAUUCAAAAUCAAACAUCAAAACAGAUCAUACUUUGCCAAGGAAACAGUAACAGACACUGCUGAAACAGAAACAAAGACUCUGAACCUGUAAUUCUGAUAGCUUGACUCAAAAUUCAUGCACCUAAGUUGUUCAUCAAUAUGGUCAUUGCUCGUUUUAAUGAUGCAGAAAAGUCUUAUUCCAAUCACAUUUUCACAGAUUCAUCACACGGUAACACCAGAAUUGAAACAUUUUAAAGCAACUGCACAUGACUUUGACAAAACUAUAUAUGAUGCUCAAAUGAAAGACUCAAACAACAACAUUAACCGAUUAAAAAUGAUGAUACACGAUCAAACAAAGCUGGUACAGAACAACAACACAACAGAACCUAAAAUACCGAAAAAAACUGAAUGGAACAGUGGACUAGAACAAGAUGAAAACAAAUUCAAGACAUUGUAGAAGUGUGAUGACAGUAUGGAAUGAAGAAAGAAGACACUUAGCUCACAACAGUAGCGGCUGGAACCUUGCUCUGAAUACCAAAUGAUACGGAUGCUCCAACCAGAAUUAUGGAUUGAGAUGCAGCGGAAGUUGCAAAACGAAUAUGGACAGCGAUGAGGCAGAAACAACAAGCAGCGGAUGGAGUUUCUGUGAAUUCGCAGUAGCGGAUGAUGAUGUUUUGGUGAAGAAUUUGGUGGAUGAAGUGAGCUACGGUGAUGGUGAAGACUAGCUCAGAUGGCCUUCCAUUUGGAAGGAAGCUANNNNNNNNNNNNNNNNNNNNNNNNNNNNNNNNNNNNNNNNNNNNNNNNNNNNNNNNNNNNNNNNNNNNNNNNNNNNNNNNNNNNNNNNNNNNNNNNNNNNNNNNNNNNNNNNNNNNNNNNNNNNNNNNNNNNNNNNNNNNNNNNNNNNNNNNNNNNNNNNNNNNNNNNNNNNNNNNNNNNNNNNNNNNNNNNNNNNNNNNUUUACCCUUCACCAUGCUCUUGGGGUUGUUCUUUAUUUGGUGGCCUUGGGCCCCGUGUAUCAGAAUGUAACUUUGCUUAAAUCACCAUAUACUCAAUUCAUCAAUUCAACGUCAAACCAACCAAUUUAAACAACACUUGAUCAUCCAUUUCAAACAAAAAAAAAUGGUUUUAGUAGCAAUUAAACUACCAAAGCUUCAAUUUCAUCCAUUUCAAACAACCAAAAACUAAAAUACUUUCAACCAAAAACUAGAACACUUUCAACUAGUAGCCACAACAGGAUUUCCCUAUAGUAGGCUACCAAUUUCAGACCACUUCUAGUGUGACAUACAACACUUCAUUAUAAUACCCAAAACAUAUUUCAACAGUGAUUUAAUAAAUUAAAACAACAAUUUAAAUCAAUCACAAAUCAUUAAACAUGAACACAUAAUUCUAAUCACAUUAAAACUUAAGAGAAAUGAUAUUUAGCAUAUAUUUUAUAUAUAAUUUUAUAACUUUGUUGCAUAAUGCACUUUUUAUAUGUUUUGCUUUUAAUUCUUAAGUUAUUAUCUUUAUUUAUGAUAAAUGAGGUUGAUGGCAUAUAUUUCCUUUUAGCUUUAUAUUUUCAAGUUAUUUGACCUUUGUUUACAAUUUUGACUAUAAUAUAUUUUUAGGUAUUAUUUUUGGUUUAUUUUAGUUGCAUUAGAUUCUAUAUUUCAAUUACUUGAAAAUGGAUAUAUUGUUUGUCGGAUUUUAAUUCCUAUGAUAAUUUAAAUGAAUUUUAAAAGUUGAGAUAAAUUUGUUGAAAUUUUAUAAAAAAACCAUGUGGAUUACCUUUUUGUGUGUAUUAACUUAAAGCUUUAAAAUUGGGUUUAUGGACUUUAUUUGUAAAGACCUAAAAAAUUACAUUUUAGAAGUGAUAGUGGUUUAAAAAAAGUGAGACUUGAUUAUAUUAAUAUUAAAAGGUUUUAAUAUAAAUAGUUUUGUUAUGAACGAGUUUCAUUAUUUUAAAGUACACAAUAUCUUUCGAAACAACUUUUCUAUAGUUCUAUGACUUUUCUCUAAAGGUUUUCCCUUUCUCCUGGUUUUAUUGAAGAAUUGAGACCAUAUGAUUUAUCCUUGCGGCGAGCUAUUCAAUUUGAACCGAUCAAUUUUUUCAUUCGUGUAAGUUGAGUUUUAGCUCAUUGUUUUGGUCUUUGCUUUAUGUUGCAUGUGAGCCUUCUUCCAUUUCCUUUUUUAGUCAUCUAUAUGAGUCUCUUUUGAUUAAUGAUCAUAAUGGUAUGUCCUCAUCGCUUUUGUAUUGUUCCUAGGGCAUUAUGUGAGCUUGAAGGGAUUUGUGAUCCCUUAUAAUUAGUUAAUUUGUCUCUCAGGUAAGGGAAGCUAAUUGCAUAUCUUUUAUGUGAUUAAUACCUAGUAAUUAUUGUAUGGUGUUUUUCUUCUAUGAUUAAGCUGUGUGAUUAAGAAUUGAUCAAUGAAAAUUAAAAUUAGGGUUGUAGUCUGAAAGCUAGAUCCACAUGAGGUGUGUAAUGCAUAGCUAAAAAAACGCCAGUCACUAUCUGAAUGACUAAACAAAUACCAGCUAACGAACCGAAGCCCCACCAAUAACUAAGAUUGCUCGGGGUUGGAUAAUCUAUCAAAUGUUGAUUAAGUGUGGAGGAUAUAGGUGCUUUAAGAAGAGAGAAUCGUUGGUUCCUUAUAGUCAUUUUUGGAUCUUUCCUAUCGUGACAACUCUGGUCCCCCCACCUUUUUUUCGUUCUGGGGCACUACUUCAAAAAAGAAUCCAUUCUUGUAAGUAAGCCCCCAUUUUGCCUUGAAAGAAUUUGGUUUCGCUGCGCCCUGAAUCAAUCAAAAAGCUUCUUUUUUUUUAAUUCAUCCCAUUUUCUUUGGGCNAGAGGGAGGCUGUGAGUCACCUGGGCUACGGAUUUGUCGGUUGGUUGAUUCUCGAAAUCACCUCUUGAGAAAAAAAGGCCCUCGGGUCCCGACCCAAAAAUGAAUAGGAAGCGGGNCGGGCGAGGGUCUUUCAUGAAAGGGGGGAAAAGAGGGGUGGGGCCGCCUUGCGCAGCUUUAGUUUACUUGAAUUGUAUGAUGAAAUUGCGAAUGUUGCGUGAUUGGUAUUGCAUAUGAUUUUUUUGAACUAUUGAAUGUGGUGUAAUUUAAAGUUGGCAUUUGUGUUGGCUGUUAGACUAAACUUGGAGGGCUCGUGUUAAGACUUCG
rnacentral:lncRNA from 1 species